UGGGCCUGGGCCUGGGCGAGCCGGCGCGGCCCGGCGGCGGCGCGGGGGAAGGAGGAAGGAAGGAGAAGUGCCGGGCGGGGGCGAGCGCGGGCCGGCGGCGGCGCCCCGGGCCCUGCCUUUGUUCGCCUCCAUUCGUGGCGCAGCCAGGGCGGCCGCUGAGGCGGGGGGGGCCGGGACGUGCCAGGCCCCGCCGGGCCCCGCCAGAGCCCCUCGCGCUCCCCGAGGGCCGCCCGCCGCCAUCAACUCCCCCUUCUCCCGUGUGCUCCCCGGCUUUCCAGCCCGCCGGGGCACAGCGGGGCAGCCCGGGCUGUGCGGGCAGCACCUCACGCGGCUCCACUGCUGCAGGGACGAGCAGAGCUGUAACGUAAACACGGAGUCAGAGCGUAGCGUAACUGAAGUUGCUCCUGCCAGGUAGCUUUUUGGUGGAAAACCAGACUCUUCGAUGUAGAUGCAGAAGUGCUGGGCACCGGCAGCGCUGCGCGGCAGGAAAGGAGGGCCAGGAGGCAGCGCCGGGCCACAGCGCGAGGCGGAAGGGCUUUGGUAGGGAGAUGUGACAGAGUCUGGCCCUCCCGUCAGUCCUCACCCUCCUCUCUAACUACACCGCUGCAAAAGCGGCCGGGGUGAUCUGCAGGCUGCUGCAAGGGACUUGCUGUAGCUUAAGCCAGCUUUGUGUCUCCCCGCUGCAAAGCUCUCCCACAUCACAGCACCCGCUCUGCUUCUGUUUUCACACCUGUCUCUGUGCUGAAACGCUCCGGUUCCUUCCCAAUUAGCUGUGGAUAAAUCGUACAUCCCAGGUGUGGCAGAGUCCUGAAGGGCUGUUAGCACUGAAAUGGUUGAAUCCAACAAGUGUGGCUUUUCCAGAAGGUCUAAGCUGGCUGUUGCCCCGUCCCUUCCCUAGUAAGUAUCCCCUAAUGCUGUGUGUCUGUUCCUAUUCACAGGAGCACACGUCUGCUGUACGGCAUUCCUGUUGGGACCAGGCCGUGUCCACUUUCUCCUACCUGAAUCAUCAUGGAAAUGCACCUCCUCUCCAUGUGAAAACAAAACACAAGGAGCAGAACAGAAGAUACUUGUGUUCCCUGACAAAAAAGGAAACACAGAAACAAAACAUGUUCCCUGCAGCAAGUGACAAUGGCAGCAACAACCCAAGGGACUCUCUUAAAAUCUGUCAAGCAGGCUUUAGCUCUUCCACUGAGUGCUGCAACACAGGCUUCCUGUUCUACGAAAUUAAAAUCUUAACAGCCAUCUCCUUGUUUAUGGUAUCAUUUUUUCAUCUCUUCUCACAAGUACAUGAGAAGGGGGAAUCCCCAGGAACCUGA
ensembl:lncRNA